AGCGGCAUCAACUAGCUUAUUCGGCAUUCACGGUCCAGCAGGUUUAUCUAUCUCUCUCUAGUAGUAGUCUCUACCCAACAACACUGAAACCCACAAACCCAGUGGACAUGGGUUCUCUCAGAAAUGAAUCAGAGAGAGAGAUGGCAAGGAGGAGGAAGAGCCCCCAUUUUAUUAGUAUAGCAAACCCAGAGAUUCUGUAUGUUUCCCAUCACGUACCAGCAACUUUGGGAGAUGUACAACAAGGCUGAGGCUAGUUUUGGACUGCUGAGGAGGUUGAUCUCUCCCAGGAUGUACAGCAGUGGGAGGCUCUGACUGACUCCAAGAAACACUUUAUAAGUCCUGGCAUUUUUGGGGCAAAGGUAAGGCCAAGGUUGCUCGACCUGGUUCUCUACCUCCCGCUGCUCUGAAGGUUGGUGGUGGAACGAUGAAACUUGGCCCAGUCAAAACAAAGAUGCCUUCAGAACUGAGAGUUUUUAAGACUUGAGAGUCGCAAGAUGUACAAAAAUGAGUUGAGAGGGCUUGCUGACUGCUGUCUUUUGUUCAAGUGCUAUUUCCAUAAGAACCUAUUUCAAGGAGGAGCAACCUACAGCAAUGGAGACAUAGGAAUAUGCUCUUGUUCAUUUUAACCGAGCUGUUUUUGGAAUUUUUGGGAUUUGUUAGGCUACACCAAAACUUAGUGAAGACAAAGUUAGGCAGUGCAUUGAUGCAAGACUAGGAGGAGAUAGUGAAGACAAAGUUAGGCAGGAUCAAAUUUGAGGUGACUGCUCAUGAGUGAUAGUGAGCUUUGCUGAAUGAAACCAAGCCUUAG